rnacentral:rRNA from 1 species
UACGUAGGUGGCAAGCGUUGUCCGGAUUUACUGGGCGUAAAGCGCGCGCAGGCGGUUCAUUAAGUCUGGUGUGAAAGCUCCCGGCUCACCUGGGAGAGGGCACUGGAGACUGGUGGACUGGAGCGAGGCAGAGGCCGGUGGAAUUCCCGGUGUAGUGGUGAAAUGCGUAGAGAUCGGGAGGAACACCAGUGGCGAAGCGGCCGGCUGGGCCGUUGACUGACGCUGAGGCGCGACAGCGUGGGGAGCGAACCGG